GAUAAACGCUGGCGGCGUGCCUAAUACAUGCAAGUCGAACGAGGAGUUUUUGUAGCAAUACGAGAACUUCCUAGUGGCGAAUGGGUGAGUAACGCGUUGGUGACCUGCCCCAAAGAGCGGAAUAACUCCGGGAAACUGGAGCUAAUACCACAUGUGGUUUCCAGGGUUAGAGGCCUGGUAACUGAAGGAGUAAUCCGGUUGGGGAGGGGCCUGCGUCCCAUCAGCUAGUUGGUAGGGUAAUAGCCUACCAAGGCUUCGACGGGUAGGGGGCCUGAGAGGGUGGCCCCCCACACUGGCACUGAAACACGGGCCAGACACCUACGGGUGGCAGCAGUAGGGAAUAUUGCACAAUGGGCGAAAGCCUGAUGCAGCAACGCCGCGUGCGCGAUGAAGACCUUCGGGUUGUAAAGCGCUUUUCUGAAGAAAGAGGAAGGACUGUACUUCAGGAAUAAGGAUUGGCUAACUACGUGCCAGCAGCCGCGGUAACAC
rnacentral:rRNA from 1 species